AACGUAGGUACCGAGCGUUAUCCGGAUUUACUGGGCGUAAAGCGCGUUCAGGCGGUUUGGCAAGUCGGGCAUGAAAUCUCUCGGCUCAACCGGGAGAGGUUGUCCGAUACUGCUGGACUUGAGGGCAGUAGAGGGUGGUGGAAUUCCGGGUGUAGUGGUGAAAUGCGCAGAUAUCAGGAGGAACACCGAUUGCGAAGGCAGCUCGCUGGGACGUCACUGACGCUGAGACGCGAAAGCGUGGGGAGCAAACAGG
rnacentral:rRNA from 1 species